rnacentral:rRNA from 1 species
GACAGAGGUGCCGAGCGUUAGGCGGAAUCACUGGGCUUAAAGCGUGUGUAGGUGGAUGCCUAAGUACCUUGUGAAAUCCCACGGCUUAACCGUGGAACUGCUUGGUAUACUGGGUGUCUUGAGCCAGCUAGGGGCUACCGGAACAAAUGGUGGAGCGGUGAAAUGCGUAGAUAUCGGAAGGAACAUCAGUGGCGAAAGCGGCUUCCUGGACCAGAACUGACGAUCAGGCUCGAAAGCGUGGGGAGCAAACAGG